rnacentral:rRNA from 1 species
UACGAGGGGGGCGAGCGUUGUUCGGAAUUAUUGGGCGUAAAGAGCGUGUAGGCGGCCAGGCAGGUCCGCUGUGAAAACUCGAGGCUCAACCUCGAGAGGUCGGUGGAAACCGUUUGGCUAGAGUCCGGAAGAGGAGAGUGGAAUUCCCGGUGUAGCGGUGAAAUGCGCAGAUAUCGGGAAGAACACCCGUGGCGAAGGCGGCUCUCUGGGACGGUACUGACGCUGAGACGCGAAAGCGUGGGGAGCGAACAGG